UGAAAUUCCUUGGCCGGCCACUAUCUAGUAACUUACGAGCAUACGAGAAGUGUAAAAGGUCAUCCCUUUAUUAAAAAGAAAAAAAAAUCCACAUUCGAAACAAAACUGAACCAAGAACAACAUAAAAUUGGUGAUGUUGAACCCCCUUCAACUUUUUGUGUUCACUUUUCAUAUUUUGAACCCCUUAGUAAAAAUCCAAGUUCGGUCACUUUCUCCAACAAAUCACAAACAUACAAGAAGCGCAAAAAAAUCAUUUCUUUAUAAACAGAAGUUCACAUCAGAAACAAAACUGAACCAAGAACAUAAAAUUGGUAAUGUUGAACCCACUUUGACUUCCUCAUAUAUUUUUUCAAAUUCAAAACCCCUUGGUGAAAAUCCUAGCUCGGCCGCUGUAUCCAACAACUUACAACCAUGCAACAAGUGUAAAAAAAGAUUUCUUUAUAAGCAAAAGCCACAUCAGAUACAAAACAGAACCAAGAACAACAUAAAAUUGGUGAUGUUAAACUCCCUUUCGACGACUUCGUGUGUUUACAUCUUCAUAUUUUGAACCCCUUAGUGAAAAUCCUAUCUCGGCUACUAUAUCCAACAACUUACAACCAUACAAGUGUAAAAAAAUCAUUUCUUUAUAAACAAAAGUUUACAUCAGAAAAAAAAAAAAAAAAAAAAAAAAAAAAAAAAAAAAAAAAAAAAAAAAAAAAAAAAAAAAAAAACAAGAACAACAUAAAAUUGGUGAUGUCGAACCCUUUCGACGAUUUCCUAUGUUUACAUCUUCACAUUUUAAAACCUCUAGUGAAAAUUCUAAUUUGGCCACUAUAUCCAACAACGUACAACCAUACAAGUGUAAAAAAAAAACAUUUCUUUAUAAACAAAAAAAAAAAAAAAAAUUCUGGAAACCAAGAAUUUCAAAAAGCAUACUUGAGCAGCAGAUAAAACUGAGGCAAUUGAUAAAGCAAUGCUAGGCUUCUCAGCUACCUGCAAAUUCCCAAAAUACUAAAUCAAUAACCAUAAACUAAAUGGAACCAAAUAUAUAUAAAUUAUUUUUAUUAAUUAAGAUGAAUUAUAGUACAAAAUAAGCAAAAGGGGUAAUUAUUUUUCUUACCAUAAGAAUUUUUGGAGCCAUUUUGCUGAAAAUUUCUGUAACUUUUGAGUAUUUUAGCUAACCUUUGCGCCAAAAGGGUCCUUAAUAAUCUCACAUAGAAUAUUAGCCGUGUGAUCUUGAAAGAGAUAACUGAGCCGUAAGUUUUAAUUUAGGAAAAAGGGCCGGGUAUUUUGAUCCGAUUGGGUUGGGCCUAAUUUUUAUUUUCGUUUCUUUUAUGGAAAAAAUACAUAAACUAACAUACUUAAGUAUUAAAUUACAAAAAAUAACAACACUUUUAUCAAAUUACAUUUUGUAGCAUAUGUAUUUAUAUGUAUUUGUAUUUUUGUAGCAAUAGUUUGCAAAAAUAUAAAAUACAUAUCGAUCAUAAGGGCAGUAAAAAUCAUAUGUAUUUGUAUUUUUGUAGCAACAGUUUGCAAAAAUACAAAAUACAACUUGCUAUAUUAUGAAAUUAUGAAACUGUUGCUAUGAAACUUAUAAUUAAGGGAAUAAGUAUGUUAUUUCUGAAUUUUGCCCUUCUUUUAUUUGGAUGGGUUGGUCCAUCAAGCGUAAAGACUCUUUUCAUGUUUUUUUAUUCAUAUUAGUAAUAAAAGGAAAUAUCACAUAAAUAUGCAAAUUUAAAGCCUAUAUUACAAAAUCUACCAAAAAAUUCUAUUUUACAAAAUAUACCAAUACAAAACUAACAAAACUUAUUAAAUAAAGUAAAAAUAAAUUAGAGAAUUAAAUAAGGAAAAACGGAACGAAGGGAGAGAAAAACAACGAAUGGAGAGGAGAUAGAAAAAGAACAAGAAAUGUUAUGAUUCGGACAGAAAUAAAGCAAACCACAUGCAAAAAGAAAAUAAGAACACACAUAUUUACGUGAAAACCCUUGCGAGAAAAAAUAUGGACAGAGGCAGAGGAGGUUUCACUGUGAAAGGAAAAGAGUACAUUGUGGAGCGACGUAAUUUUUGAAUAAUCAAAAUUGACUCACUAAUUGCACUUAUAUAAUACGUGCAUACAAAUAAGUUCUAGGUUCAAAAGCAUGGGUUGCACCAUGAAAUUUUUUGGGCCGGAUCAACAAAAUUCGAGUCACAACUCUAACAGGAAACACGAGAGAGAGUAGAAGAAACAGUAGAGGAUGGAUCGAUUCCAACGAAAUUCACUGCUUCUUAAGCUCGCUGGAUCUCCGAUAAGAUCCCAACAGCUUCAACCCCAUAAAAAACGGAGUCAAAAACCACCGUCGAAGCACCCCAAUCGAAAAACUCAUCUAAAACACCCCUAAACCGACUCCCCAUUUCAAUUUUUGGCGAAAUUCACCGGGGAACGAACGAAACAGACCGGUCGCAUGGGAAUUUGGUGCGAAUUUUUCUUGUUUUUUGGAUUAACCAAAGUCAAAAAUCAUUGCCGAAGCACCCCUAUCGGAAAAUUCAUUUGAAACACCCCCAAACUCCCACCCCCCCCCCCCCCCUGACCCCUGAAAUUUCUUCCUUACAAAACAAGUCAUGUAGUAUUUCCUUUCAAACUAACUGUCUCACAUUCAACAUAUAAACAACUACGACUAUCCAACAGCAUAGGAGAAGUGUAAAACAAAAGGACAUUUCAUUGGGCGGUUGAACCCUUUCGACUUCUUUGUAUGUUUACUUUUCAAAUUCUAUACCCCUAAGUGAAAUUCCUUGGCCGGCCACUAUCUAGUAACUUACGAGCAUACGAGAAGUGUAAAAGGUCAUCCCUUUAUUAAAAAGAAAAAAAAAUCCACAUUCGAAACAAAACUGAACCAAGAACAACAUAAAAUUGGUGAUGUUGAACCCCCUUCAACUUUUUGUGUUCACUUUUCAUAUUUUGAACCCCUUAGUAAAAAUCCAAGUUCGGUCACUUUCUCCAACAAAUCACAAACAUACAAGAAGCGCAAAAAAAUCAUUUCUUUAUAAACAGAAGUUCACAUCAGAAACAAAACUGAACCAAGA
rnacentral:lncRNA from 1 species